rnacentral:rRNA from 1 species
UACGUAGGUGGCAAGCGUUGUUCGGAAUUAUUGGGCGUAAAGGGCGCGUAGGCGGCCCGCUAAGUCGAACGUGAAAUCCCCGGGCUCAACCCGGGAACUGCGUCCGAUACUGGCGGGCUUGAAUCCGGGAGAGGGAUGCGGAAUUCCAGGUGUAGCGGUGAAAUGCGUAGAUAUCUGGAGGAACACCGGUGGCGAAGGCGGCAUCCUGGACCGGCAUUGACGCUGAGGCGCGAAAGCCAGGGGAGCAAACGGG